rnacentral:rRNA from 2 species
UGCAAGUCGAGCGGACAGAUGGGAGCUUGCUCCCUGAUGUUAGCGGCGGACGGGUGAGUAACACGUGGGUAACCUGCCUGUAAGACUGGGAUAACUCCGGGAAACCGGGGCUAAUACCGGAUGGUUGUUUGAACCGCAUGGUUCAAACAUAAAAGGUGGCUUCGGCUACCACUUACAGAUGGACCCGCGGCGCAUUAGCUAGUUGGUGAGGUAACGGCUCACCAAGGCAACGAUGCGUAGCCGACCUGAGAGGGUGAUCGGCCACACUGGGACUGAGACACGGCCCAGACUCCUACGGGAGGCAGCAGUAGGGAAUCUUCCGCAAUGGACGAAAGUCUGACGGAGCAACGCCGCGUGAGUGAUGAAGGUUUUCGGAUCGUAAAGCUCUGUUGUUAGGGAAGAACAAGUACCGUUCGAAUAGGGCGGUACCUUGACGGUACCUAACCAGAAAGCCACGGCUAACUACGUGCCAGCAGCCGCGGUAAUACGUAGGUGGCAAGCGUUGUCCGGAAUUAUUGGGCGUAAAGGGCUCGCAGGCGGUUUCUUAAGUCUGAUGUGAAAGCCCCCGGCUCAACCGGGGAGGGUCAUUGGAAACUGGGGAACUUGAGUGCAGAAGAGGAGAGUGGAAUUCCACGUGUAGCGGUGAAAUGCGUAGAGAUGUGGAGGAACACCAGUGGCGAAGGCGACUCUCUGGUCUGUAACUGACGCUGAGGAGCGAAAGCGUGGGGAGCGAACAGGAUUAGAUACCCUGGUAGUCCACGCCGUAAACGAUGAGUGCUAAGUGUUAGGGGGUUUCCGCCCCUUAGUGCUGCAGCUAACGCAUUAAGCACUCCGCCUGGGGAGUACGGUCGCAAGACUGAAACUCAAA